UACGUAGGGUGCAAGCGUUGUCCGGAAUUAUUGGGCGUAAAGAGCUCGUAGGCGGUUUGUCACGUCGGAUGUGAAAACCCGAGGCUUAACCUCGGGCCUGCAUUCGAUACGGGCUGACUAGAGUUCGGUAGGGGAGACUGGAAUUCCUGGUGUAGCGGUGAAAUGCGCAGAUAUCAGGAGGAACACCCGGUGGCGAAGGCGGCUCU
rnacentral:rRNA from 1 species